rnacentral:rRNA from 1 species
CAAUGAAAGUGGGGCGGCCUCGUGCCGCCAAGGGAGGAUGGCAACCCUUCGCGGGAAGCCCGCACUCCCGGGGCGCCCCGGCUUCGGCCGUGGGCGCACUCUGAGCGUACACGUUGGGACCCGAAAGAUGGUGAACUAUGCCUGGUCAGGACGAAGUCAGGGGAAACCCUGAUGGAGGUCCGCAGCGAUUCUGACGUGCAAAUCGAUCGUCAGAGCUGGGUAUAGGGGCGAAAGACUAAUCGAACCAUCUAGUAGCUGGUUCCCUCCGAAGUUUCCCUCAGGAUAGCUGGCGCCCGCUUGGAACCGAACGAGUCUCAUCCGGUAAAGCGAAUGAUUAGAGGCCUUGGGGCCGAAACGACCUCAACCUAUUCUCAAACUUUAAAUGGGUGAGAACUCCGGCUUGCUCGAUUGAAGCCGCGAGGCGGAUCAGGGUGCCAAGUGGGCCAUUUUUGGUAAGCAGAACUGGCGCUGUGGGAUGAACCAAACGCCGGGUUAAGGCGCCUAAACCGGAGCUCAUGGGAGACCAUGAAAGGCGUUGGUUGCUUAAGACAGCAGGACGGUGGCCAUGGAAGUCGGAAGCCGCUAAGGAGUGUGUAACAACUCACCUGCCGAAGCAACUAGCCCUGAAAAUGGAUGGCGCUAAAGCUCCGUGCCUAUACCCGGCCGCCGGAAGGCAUUGGCGCGAGGUGCUCCCUCGCGGGUCACCGAGCGCGCGAAGCCCCGGCGAGUAGGAGGGCGCGGCGGUGUGCGCGGAAGGGUCUGGGCGCGAGCCUGCCUGGAGCCGCCGCCGGUGCAGAUCUUGGUGGUAGUAGCAAAUACUCAAGCGAGGGCCUUGAGGGCUGAUGUGGAGAAGGGUUUCGUGUGAACAGCCGUUGCACACGAGUCAGUCGAUCCUAAGCCCUAGGAGAAAUCCGAUGUCGAUGCGGGGGAGCUUUAUCAGUUCUUUUCCCCCUCGAUGGGCGAAAGGGAAUCCGGUUCCUAUUCCGGAACCCGGCAGCGGAACCGAAUCUACGGGCCCUCAUCAGAGAAGCUCGUCGGGGUAACCCAAAGGGACCCGGAGACGCCGUCGGGAGACCCGGGCAGAGUUUUCUGUUCUGCAUAAGCGUUCGAGUUCCCUGGAAUCCUCUAGCAGGGAGAUAGGGUUUGGAACGCGAAGAGCACCGCAGUUGCGGCGGUGUCCGGGUCGUCCCCUCGGACCUUGAAAAUCCGGGAGAGGGUCACGCGGAGGUGUCGCGCCGGCUCGUACCCAUAUCCGCAGCAGGUCUCCAAGGUGAAGAGCCU